rnacentral:rRNA from 1 species
AGCGUAGGCGGAUAGUUUAGUCAGAGGUGAAAGCCCAGGGCUCAACCUUGGAAAGUGCCUUUGAUACUGGCUAUCUUGAGUAUGGGAGAGGUAAGGCGGAAGUUCCGAGUGUAGAGGUGAAAUUCGUAGAAUAUUCGGAAGAACACCGGUGGCGAAGGCGGCUUACUGGCCCAUUACUGACGCUGAGGCUCGAAAGCGUGGGGAGCAAACA